ensembl:lncRNA
CUGCACGAAUCAGGUGGUGUCCAGCGCGCAGGCGCAUACUUAUUCUCUGCGCGGCGUCCGUUUCUCCAGACUUUCCACUUUUGGCAAGCUAUGUUCCCUGGCUUGUGUCCAGUCUACAAAAGGUCUUAAAACCACGGAGCAGGGCUUUAAGCGUUUAGGAUCUCGCUUUUUGCAGGCUUUUGACAAGAAGGCUCAGAUCUCCACUAACCAGUGGCCACAUUUUACCAUCAUGAUCAUUGAGUAGCUCACAACCAAACCGUUUGCUUUAUCACAGCAAGAAGAGUGAGGAGAGCCAAAAAUGUCACAGAAGGGAGAAGCUGGAGGAAACUGAGGAGGAGGGCAACCCUGUAGGAGGACCAGCAGUCUCAACCUGGACCCUGAGAUCUCUCAGACACUGGACCACCAACCAGGCAGCAUGCACCAGCUGAUAUGAGGCCCCCAGCACAUAUACAGCAGAGGACUGCCAGGUCUGCGUACAGUCAGAGAAGAUGCACCUAACUCUCGAGACUGGAGGUCCCAGGAGAGGGGAGGUCUGAUGGGGGAGCAUCCUCGUGGAGACCGGAGGAGGUAUGGGAUGUGGAACAGUCAGAGAGUAGACCCAGAGGGGGAUAAAAUCUGGA